GAUCCUGGCUCAGAGUGAACGCUGGCGGUAGGCCUAACACAUGCAAGUCGAACGGCAGCACAGUAAGAGCUUGCUCUUAUGGGUGGCGAGUGGCGGACGGGUGAGGAAUACAUCGGAAUCUACCUUUUCGUGGGGGAUAACGUAGGGAAACUUACGCUAAUACCGCAUACGACCUCGGUGAAGACAGGGGACCGUUCGGGCCGUUCGUCGCGGAUAGAUGAGCCGAUGUCGGAGUUAGCUAGUUGGUCGGGGUAAA
rnacentral:rRNA from 1 species